UGGGGAAUUUUGGACAAUGGGCGAAAGCCUGAUCCAGCAAUGCCGCGUGUGUGAAGAAGGCCUUCGGGUUGUAAAGCACUUUUGUCCGGAAAGAAAUCCUUGGCUCUAAUACAGUCGGGGGAUGACGGUACCGGAAGAAUAAGCACCGGCUAACUACGUGCCAGCAGCCGCGGUAAUACGUAGGGUGCAAGCGUUAAUCGGAAUUACUGGGCGUAAAGCGUGCGCAGGCGGUUUGCUAAGACCGAUGUGAAAUCCCCGGGCUAACCUGGGAACUGCAUUGGUGACUGGCAGGCUAGAGUAUGGCAGAGGGGGGUAGAAUUCCACGUGUAGCAGUGAAAUGCGUAGAGAUGUGGAGGAAUACGAUGGCGAAGGCAGCCCCCUGGGCCAAUACUGACGCUCAUGCACGAAAGCGUGGGGAGCAAACAGGAUUAGUACCCUGGUAGUCCACGCCCUAAACGAUGUCAACUAGUUGUU
rnacentral:rRNA from 1 species